GAAUUGUUCGCAAUGGGCGCAAGCCUGACGACGCAACGCCGCGUGGGGGAUGAAGGUCUUCGGAUUGUAAACCCCUGUUGGGUGGGACGAACACUUUCGUGGUGAACAGCCACGGAGACUGACGGUACCACCUGAGGAAGCUCCGGCUAACUACGUGCCAGCAGCCGCGGUAAUACGUAGGGAGCAAGCGUUGUUCGGAUUUACUGGGCGUAAAGGGCGCGUAGGCGGCGCGGUAAGUCACUUGUGAAAUCUCUGAGCUUAACUCAGAACGGCCAAGUGAUACUGCAGUGCUAGAGUGCAGAAGGGGCAAUCGGAAUUCUUGGUGUAGCGGUGAAAUGCGUAGAUAUCAAGAGGAACACCUGAGGUGAAGACGGGUUGCUGGGCUGACACUGACGCUGAGGCGCGAAAGCCAGGGGAGCAAAC
rnacentral:rRNA from 1 species